AUUGAACGCUAGCGGCAGGCCUAACACAUGCAAGUCGAACGAGUGGCGGACGGGUGAGUAAUGUCUGGGAAACUGCCUGGUGGCGGGGGAUAACUACUGGAAACGGUAGCUAAUACCGCAUACCAUCGGAUGUGCCCAGAUGGGAUUAGCUAGUAGGUGGGGUAAAGGCUCACCUAGGCGACGAUCCCUAGCUGGUCUGAGAGGAUGACAAGCCACACUGGGACUGAGACACGGCCCAGCCUCCUACGGUAGGCAGCAGUGGGGAAUAUGGCACAAUGGGCGCAAGCCUGAUGCAGCCAUGCCGCGUGUAUGAAGAAGGCCCUAGGGUUUUAAAGUACUUUCAGCGGGGAGGCGUUACCGGCAGAAGAAGCACCGGCUAACUCCGUGCCAGCAGCCGCGGUAAUAC
rnacentral:rRNA from 1 species